GAAGGAAAAGAGGAGAUGACUGUUAGUGACAACAGCAAGAGCCAGUCUUUGGCCCAUGGCACCUUGCAGGGUAGAACCCCUCCCUCCAUAGUAACUCUCAUUUUCUCAGGAGUGGAAAGGAAAGGUCACUGUGCCCCACCUGUGCCCCAGCCCGAGCAGAGAGGACCCUCAGCACUCACCAUGGAGUGGCCCAGGUGCUCGCUCACACUCUCAGACAGGUAGAGCAACUUCCCCUCAGCUGUGAACACAAGCAGAAAUCCAGGUAGUGCUGCCACGAUGUCCUCAAGCUCUUCGGCUGAGAGAAGCCCCGUGGGGCCCUCCAGAGGAGUGCCUGUAGGGUGAGAAGAUGCGGUGAGUCAAGAGUACGAUGGGAGGCAAAGUAGAAAUGAGUGAGGCGCGGUAUGAAUUGCAGAGAAUCCAGAGGAAUUCCUCAUGGACCUGCCUCUCCAAACACCUGUUGACCCGCUGCUCGUGGCCCGGGAACCUGUUGCCGGAUCUCCACAGCCAGCGAGCCCUUCGGCUUCUAAGCCGGCCGGAGCCUCCGCGAGCCUGGGUUUCAGCACCGCGGACAGAGCUCCCAAGCGGACCGUAGGUUCAGCACCGCGGACAGCGCCAUCAGCACCGCGGACAGCGCUCCAAAGGCGGCGGAAAAGCCGGUUCAGCGCCGCGAACAGAACAGCGGCUGCCUUCCCAGGCUCCGGCGGCUCCGGCGGCUCCAUCCCUGCAACUUCCCGGACUUCCCUGCCUGGCUCCCGGGCGCAUCUGCACUGGCGGGGACUGAGACCAUUCUGACCUGGCUCUCUCCUCCCACAGACCUGGUGUUAGGGAACCCCCAGACCGUCUAACCCUCACCCAGAACUGAGGCAAGGUCUGGACAGAGCUCGGAGGAAAAGCGGGAGUCCUGAACCCCGAGUCCCGUCACCCACUCGCCAGCACGCUGCCGGACCUUCGGCAGCCUCGGCGGAGCUUCCCUGAGCUCCGCCAUCCCCGGCGCCCGCCGGCUCGGUCUCCGGUAGCCCAGCUCGCUCACCUCCAGCGAAGAAGACGCCCUUGCGAGUGUAGAUGCAGGCGAGGCUCAUGAUGUGCAGACUCCCAAGUGCCUCGCCAGUGUCUGUGGCUGACCGGUCUGUGCAGUGAAAAUGGGACCCCGAGUCGAGCUGGUUUAUGCAACAGCCGUGUUGUCUUAGCUGCAUCGCGGCAGGCUGUCGUCUUUCUCCUAAGGCCCUUUCAUUAAGCUCUCACUCGUCAAUUCUACGGCACACGGAAGCAUUCGGAACAGCUUAUCUAUUUAUGGUUAUGAAAUCAACAAAUCUUGUGCAGGGAGGCACAGCUGGCACCCAUGCACAGAGAUGGUCGGGGACAGGUGGGUGAGCCGACGGGAGAGGCGAGGGACACGGGACCACGGAGGGUGCGAGGGGGAGAGCAGAGCGGGGGAAGGAGAAGGUGAGCUGUUCCCGGCCAGGGCCUGAAGGCAGGGCUGAGACACAAGGAAUGCAACGACCCGACCAACCAACCGGAGUGUCAGACCUGCCACAUUCCAAGGAGGGAAGAAUCCACUAAAACCACUUUUCAAAUGCAGAGUGGGGAUCCCCCAGCUCCUCCAAGUGCCCUGGGCAGCCAGGAACGAAGGACCUAGGCCCUGCCCUCGAGGAGCAGGGGGCCAAGGAGGAGACAGACCCCUGCGCAUUCACUCUUGGAGUCCUCCCGCUGGUGAAUCCCUCCGAGCCCUCUGGCCCGACAGCUGGUCUGGCAAAUCGCCCCACCCCACCCCAGUGUCCCCAGCCCCUGUGCUUCCUCAGCACUGCCCUUGUCACCCUGCACUGUCCCCACUUGCUUCCUGGGCCAUCUCCCCUGCCAGCACCCACGUCCGGUCCCCGCUUUCCCAGCACCCAGCAUGUAAGGCGUUUGCAGGACAGACACCGAGGGGACCAUCCUCUGGGGGGGACAUGGCAGUUGACAGACUCAGGCCAGGCUCGGCCCCAUGGAGCCUCCAGGCUGGGGAGGAAGUGAGAACUGCAUCCGCCCCCCGGGCUGGGAUGCUGCCGCCAGGGCGGCGUGCAGGGUGUCCGGGAGCGAGAGGAGGCUGACCCAGCCUGGGGAGACUGGGGACGCCACAGCAGGGACCCUGUCUGCUUUGCUCCCUGUCGACUGUUCAGCAUGGUGUCGUAAGACCCUCCAUACACAUUUGUAAGACGUUUACAUAAGACACAAGCAAUGGAGGUGUCUACUCAGAGCAGAGAAGGCUCAAAGGGGGGUGUCGGCAUCUUCAGUCACCCACAGGACGGCCACCGGGAGGCAGGGGCAGAUACGGUCCGCGUGGAGAGGUGGCAGGGGCCUGAGGAAGGACAGGCAGGAUAGAGUCCUGCCACCCUCACAGACUGACUUUGUGACGUUGGUCAGUUAAGUAGCUUAACCUUUUGUGCCUCAGUUUACUCAUCUGUUAACUAAAGAUGUGAGCAGAACAACUGCACCUCCUUCAAGGGGUCGAUGUGAGAAUUAAAGGAGUUAAAUAGGUAAAGCCCUUAGAAAUCACCCAACGCAUGAAAGGAGCACGAUAAAUGUUCAAUGGUGGAUGUCAUUCAUUAUCUUAACUUUAUGAAAGACAGGAUUGUGAGCAGGCGGUGCAGAGAAGGCAGGGCUGGCGCAGGGCCUGGCACACGCCCUGCCACUGCCAGUGCAGGAGCAGCUUGGGCCCCCUCUGGCUUCCGCAGCUUUGGGCCGGGCUGGGUCUGACAGUACCAGCCGCUGUAGGCCAGACUGGGGGCUGCGCGGCUCCGACAAAAAGGACAAAGGUGAGAGUGGGGUCUGGGAAGUCGAGGGGUGCUCACAAGUGGCCCUGAGGGCUCGGGCUCGGGGUGCCCCUUCCCAGGGCCUCUGCUGGCUCCCACGCUGCUCACCAUGACUCGGGACAAGCGCCCUGGCUGUGCCUAACACACCCAUCCAGUGUCCAGCAACCAAGCUCCCCUUGCAUGUUUCUAGAAGCCACCCUGUCCGUGCUCUUCCCUCACUUAAAACCUUCAUGGCUCCCUCACUUCCCAUUACCCCAAACCCUUCCUGGCCGGCGCCUGCUGCCUUCCCUCCACCCUCAGGUGCCCAGGCCACCGCGGGCUCCAGCUUCAGGCCCGCCCGUGUUAGCAUCUCAGCACGCCUUGUGACGGGACAGCAACAGAUGUGACGGGUGCAAACUCGCCCGCACCUUGUGUACCCAACAGCCAACCCCUCGGGCCAUUCUCACAGCUCAAUGUGACUGCAACAAAGGACUCACCGUUGGGGGGCGCCGGUGGGUUCCAAGGUGCACACAACAGGUCAUCUUCAGAGUGGUCCACGCAGCCUGUGGCUGAAGCAGCUACUGUCUCCAGCAUUCCUUAGCUUCACGCUGGUGGGAGGAAGACGACCCUCUCAGGAGGUCCCACAGCUGGCCACACAGGGACGCCACAGCCUGGCCAAAACACUCAAGUUCAGAAAAUCCCAGACUUACAGUCGGAACUGGGCCCCUUACAGACCAUCUCCGCCGCACUGUCCUAGUGCCGAGAACGGAGUGACCCAAGUGACAUGGCCAACGCGUGGUGGAAGCGGACCCCCAGCCAGGUCCUGGGCUCACAGAGCAGCGGCCUGGCAUGCCUCCCGAGGGGGGCCCCGCGGGAUCCAGCAGCACAGGAGGAGCCUGCGCCGGGAGGCAGGGGCUGGGUCCUAGGCUCAACAACACGCUGACUUGCUGUGUGGCCUUGGCAAAUCGUAUCUUGCCAAGGGAUGCCUCAGUUUCCCCUUCUGUGCAUUAAAGGCUUGGCCCUGGGAACGUA